rnacentral:rRNA from 1 species
GACGAACGCUGGCGGCGUGCUUAACACAUGCAAGUCGAACGGGUCUGCCCUGUUUUUUGCGGGGUGGGUCAGUGGCGAACGGGUGAGUAACACGUGAGUAACCUGCCCCUCACUUCUGGAUAACCGCUUGAAAGGGUGGCUAAUACGGGGUGUUCUGGCUGUGCCGCAUGGUGUGGCUGGGAAAGAUUCACUUUUGUGGUGUUUUGGUGGGGGAUGGGCUCGCGGCCUAUCAGCUUGUUGGUGGGGUGAUGGCCUGCCAAGGCUUUGACGGGUAGCCGGCCUGUGAGGGUGGGCGGUCACACUGGGACUGAGAUACGGCCCAGACUCCUGCGGGAGGCAGCAGUGGGGGGUAUUGCACAAUGGGCGGAAGCCUGAUGCAGCGACGUCGCGUGAGGGAUGGAGGCCUUCGGGUUGUGAACCUCUUUCGCCGGUGAAGAAGGUCCUGCUCUUUGUGGUGGGGUUGACGGUAGCCGGGUUAUGAAGCGCCGGCUAACUACGUG